GGUUAAGCGACUAAGCGUACACGGUGGAUGCCCUGGCAGUCAGAGGCGAUGAAGGACGUGCUAAUCUGCGAUAAGCGUCGGUAAGGUGAUAUGAACCGUUAUAACCGGCGAUUUCCGAAUGGGGAAACCCAGUGUGAUUCGUCACACUAUCAUUAACUGAAUCCAUAGGUUAAUGAGGCGAACCGGGGGAACUGAAACAUCUAAGUACCCCGAGGAAAAGAAAUCAACCGAGAUUCCCCCAGUAGCGGCGAGCGAACGGGGAGCAGCCCAGAGCCUGAAUCAGUGUGUGUGUUAGUGGAAGCGUCUGGAAAGGCGCGCGAUACAGGGUGACAGCCCCGUACACAAAAAUGCACAUAUUGUGAGCUCGAUGAGUAGGGCGGGACACGUGGUAUCCUGUCUGAAUAUGGGGGGCCCAUCCUCCAAGGCUAAAUACUCCUGACUGACCGAUAGUGAACCAGUACCGUGAGGGAAAGGCGAAAAGAACCCCGGCGAGGGGAGUGAAAAAGAACCUGAAACCGUGUACGUACAAGCAGUGGGAGCACGCUUAGGCGUGUGACUGCGUACCUUUUGUAUAAUGGGUCAGCGACUUAUAUUCUGUAGCAAGGUUAACCGAAUAGGGGAGCCGAAGGGAAACCGAGUCUUAACUGGGCGUUAAGUUGCAGGGUAUAGACCCGAAACCCGGUGAUCUAGCCAUGGGCAGGUUGAAGGUUGGGUAACACUAACUGGAGGACCGAACCGACUAAUGUUGAAAAAUUAGCGGAUGACUUGUGGCUGGGGGUGAAAGGCCAAUCAAACCGGGAGAUAGCUGGUUCUCCCCGAAAGCUAUUUAGGUAGCGCCUCGUGAAUUCAUCUCCGGGGGUAGAGCACUGUUUCGGCAAGGGGGUCAUCCCGACUUACCAACCCGAUGCAAACUGCGAAUACCGGAGAAUGUUAUCACGGGAGACACACGGCGGGUGCUAACGUCCGUCGUGAAGAGGGAAACAACCCAGACCGCCAGCUAAGGUCCCAAAGUCAUGGUUAAGUGGGAAACGAUGUGGGAAGGCCCAGACAGCCAGGAUGUUGGCUUAGAAGCAGCCAUCAUUUAAAGAAAGCGUAAUAGCUCACUGGUCGAGUCGGCCUGCGCGGAAGAUGUAACGGGGCUAAACCAUGCACCGAAGCUGCGGCAGCGACGCUUAUGCGUUGUUGGGUAGGGGAGCGUUCUGUAAGCCUGCGAAGGUGUGCUGUGAGGCAUGCUGGAGGUAUCAGAAGUGCGAAUGCUGACAUAAGUAACGAUAAAGCGGGUGAAAAGCCCGCUCGCCGGAAGACCAAGGGUUCCUGUCCAACGUUAAUCGGGGCAGGGUGAGUCGACCCCUAAGGCGAGGCCGAAAGGCGUAGUCGAUGGGAAACAGGUUAAUAUUCCUGUACUUGGUGUUACUGCGAAGGGGGGACGGAGAAGGCUAUGUUGGCCGGGCGACGGUUGUCCCGGUUUAAGCGUGUAGGCUGGUUUUCCAGGCAAAUCCGGAAAAUCAAGGCUGAGGCGUGAUGACGAGGCACUACGGUGCUGAAGCAACAAAUGCCCUGCUUCCAGGAAAAGCCUCUAAGCAUCAGGUAACAUCAAAUCGUACCCCAAACCGACACAGGUGGUCAGGUAGAGAAUACCAAGGCGCUUGAGAGAACUCGGGUGAAGGAACUAGGCAAAAUGGUGCCGUAACUUCGGGAGAAGGCACGCUGAUAUGUAGGUGAAGUCCCUUGCGGAUGGAGCUGAAAUCAGUCGAAGAUACCAGCUGGCUGCAACUGUUUAUUAAAAACACAGCACUGUGCAAACACGAAAGUGGACGUAUACGGUGUGACGCCUGCCCGGUGCCGGAAGGUUAAUUGAUGGGGUCAGCGCAAGCGAAGCUCUUGAUCGAAGCCCCGGUAAACGGCGGCCGUAACUAUAACGGUCCUAAGGUAGCGAAAUUCCUUGUCGGGUAAGUUCCGACCUGCACGAAUGGCGUAAUGAUGGCCAGGCUGUCUCCACCCGAGACUCAGUGAAAUUGAACUCGCUGUGAAGAUGCAGUGUACCCGCGGCAAGACGGAAAGACCCCGUGAACCUUUACUAUAGCUUGACACUGAACAUUGAGCCUUGAUGUGUAGGAUAGGUGGGAGGCUUUGAAGUGUGGACGCCAGUCUGCAUGGAGCCGGCCUUGAAAUACCACCCUUUAAUGUUUGAUGUUCUAACGUGGACCCGUGAUCCGGGUUGCGGACAGUGUCUGGUGGGUAGUUUGACUGGGGCGGUCUCCUCCUAAAGAGUAACGGAGGAGCACGAAGGUUGGCUAAUCCUGGUCGGACAUCAGGAGGUUAGUGCAAUGGCAUAAGCCAGCUUGACUGCGAGCGUGACGGCGCGAGCAGGUGCGAAAGCAGGUCAUAGUGAUCCGGUGGUUCUGAAUGGAAGGGCCAUCGCUCAACGGAUAAAAGGUACUCCGGGGAUAACAGGCUGAUACCGCCCAAGAGUUCAUAUCGACGGCGGUGUUUGGCACCUCGAUGUCGGCUCAUCACAUCCUGGGGCUGAAGUAGGUCCCAAGGGUAUGGCUGUUCGCCAUUUAAAGUGGUACGCGAGCUGGGUUUAGAACGUCGUGAGACAGUUCGGUCCCUAUCUGCCGUGGGCGCUGGAGAACUGAGGGGGGCUGCUCCUAGUACGAGAGGACCGGAGUGGACGCAUCACUGGUGUUCGGGUUGUCAUGCCAAUGGCACUGCCCGGUAGCUAAAUGCGGAAGAGAUAAGUGCUGAAAGCAUCUAAGCACGAAACUUGCCCCGAGAUGAGUUCUCCCUGACCCUUUAAGGGUCCUGAAGGAACGUUGAAGACGACGACGUUGAUAGGCCGGGUGUGUAAGCGCAGCGAUGCGUUGAGCUAACCGGUACUAAUGAACCGUGAGGCUUAACCUU
rnacentral:rRNA from 2 species